rnacentral:rRNA from 1 species
AUUGAACGCUGGCGGCAUGCCUUACACAUGCAAGUCGAACGGCAGCACGGGGUAACCUGGUGGCGAGUGGCGAACGGGUGAGUAAUAUAUCGGAACGUACCCAGAAGUGGGGGAUAACGCAGCGAAAGUUGCGCUAAUACCGCAUACGAUCUACGGAUGAAAGUGGGGGACCUUAGGGCCUCAUGCUUUUGGAGCGGCCGAUAUCUGAUUAGCUAGUUGGUGAGGUAAAGGCUCACCAAGGCAUCGAUCAGUAGCUGGUCUGAGAGGACGACCAGCCACACUGGAACUGGGACACGGUCCAGACUCCUACGGGAGGCAGCAGUGGGGAAUUUUGGACAAUGGGGGCAACCCUGAUCCAGCAAUGCCGCGUGAGUGAAGAAGGCCUUCGGGUUGUAAAGCUCUUUUGUCAGGGAAGAAACGGUUUCUCCUAAUAUGGGGGGCUAAUGACGGUACCUGAAGAAUAAGCACCGGCUAACUACGUGCCAGCAGCCGCGGUAAUACGUAGGGUGCAAGCGUUAAUCGGAAUUACUGGGCGUAAAGCGUGCGCAGGCGGUUAUGUAAGUCAGAUGUGAAAUCCCCGGGCUCAACCUGGGAAUGGCAUUUGAGACUGCAUGGCUAGAGUGUGUCAGAGGGGGGUAGAAUUCCACGUGUAGCAGUGAAAUGCGUAGAGAUGUGGAGGAAUACCGAUGGCGAAGGCAGCCCCCUGGGAUAACACUGACGCUCAUGCACGAAAGCGUGGGGAGCAAACAGGAUUAGAUACCCUGGUAGUCCACGCCCUAAACGAUGUCUACUAGUUGUCGGGUCUUAAUUGACUUGGUAACGCAGCUAACGCGUGAAGUAGACCGCCUGGGGAGUACGGUCGCAAGAUUAAAACUCAAAGGAAUUGACGGGGACCCGCACAAGCGG